GACGAACGCUGGCGGCGUGCUUAACACAUGCAAGUCGAACGGAAAGGCCUCUUUCGGGGGGUACUCGAGUGGCGAACGGGUGAGUAACACGUGAGUAACCUGCCCUUGACUUUGGGAUAACUUCAGGAAACUGGGGCUAAUACCGGAUAGGAGCUCCUGCUGCAUGGUGGGGGUUGGAAAGUUUCGGCGGUUGGGGAUGGACUCGCGGCUUAUCAGCUUGUUGGUGGGGUAGUGGCUUACCAAGGCUUUGACGGGUAGCCGGCCUGAGAGGGUGACCGGCCACAUUGGGACUGAGAUACGGCCCAGACUCCUACGGGAGGCAGCAGGGGGGAAUAUUGCACAAGGGGUGGAAGCCGGAUGCAGCAACGCCGUGUGCGGGAUGACGGCCUUCGGGUUGUAAACCGCUUUCGCUCAUGACGAAGCUUUGUGUGACGGUAGUGGGUAAAGAAGCACCGGCUAACUACGUG
rnacentral:rRNA from 1 species